AGGGAGAAAGUAGGAAACUAAGGCAAAAUUGGAGUCCUGGUCAGCCUGAACUCCCAAGACUGUUUUCCUCACCAGCAAAGGACCGUGUUUCCCAAUAAGGAAACUGAGGAUCAGAGAGGCUGACUAAUUUGCCCAAUGUCACACAGCUGGUAACAGACAGAGAUGCAUGUUAUCAGUGUGAAAACGGCCUUGACAUUGAUGAUAAUGAGAGGCCUCCUGGGCCCAUGAGCCAGGAGACCUGGGCUGCAGGCUGAGGAUGAAGCACCUUCAGGCAGAGACAGUUUUAAAGUUACCGAACAUUGCUGAGAUGCAAAUACACUGAGGCUACAGAAGAAGGAGUGGAGGAGGAUGGUUGACAUUCUCAGUAACCAUCUUGCUGGGCUCUCCCUCUCCUAUGCUGGCUUUGAAGAAGCCCCAUGGAGCCCCAUGUGGGAAGAAACUAUGGGAUGCCUCAAGGACUUAAGGGCAGUUUACAGCCUUCAUCCAGCAAGGAAAUGAGGCAGAUGCAAGGAGGUGAAUUCUGCCAACAACUACAUGAGCUUGGGAGUGGAUCCUUCCAUAGUUGAGUCUUGAAUGAGACCACAUCUCUGGCUGACAUCUUGAUUGCAGUCUUGUAAGACCCCGAGGCAGAGAACCCACUUACACCGUGCAUAGACCCCUAACUCACAGAAAGUGUGAGAAAACACAUGUGUAUGGCUUAAGCUUCUAAGUUUGUGGAAAUAUUGUUAGACAGUAAUAGAAAACUAAUGUAAUCUAUUUCCUAUAGUGGAAUGACUGUCAGUCAUUGGUGUCAGAGAAUAUCUUCAAGGAAGCCCAUGAAAAAGUCAAAUGGGCAGGUGGCGGUAUAAAUACCUCAAGUUAAAAUGAUGCCAAGUAUGUAACUCAACCCAGGACCUGUUCCCCAUGUAGACUGUAGGAGCGUUGGGGCAUUUACUGGGGCUUCAUACUCUUGCAGUAACUCAUGCAUACCUUGGAGAUACAGAAUUCUAUACUCCCCAAAAUACCAGAAAAUUGACGCUCUGCAGUAUGUUCUCAUCACGCUGUGAAAGGACAUUGGGAAAACUCCAUUUCCCACAUACUUCUUAUUAGACCAAAAAGAUACCUUUAAAAAUUAACUAAAAUGCAAACACAGAAACAGCAGGUACAUCUUUCUCAUUCCUUAAAGCAAAGAAUAGACUUCUUCAAAACAGAGGUUCAAAGGUCACUAUUUUUCUUCUUUGUUAGCAACAUAACAUGGUGUGGGCUGAAGAAACUAGAGAAGAAAAAACUGCUUACAGCAAAUUUUCUUCACCCUAUUUUGUUUUGUGCUUCUGGAGCAGGACUCCUCCAGGUUAAUGGUGCUGCCAGAUCCAAAAGGUCCUUUGGAGCAAUUCAAUACAGCUGGAAACUGCUCUGACAGCCGCCCUUGACAAUGAGAGAGGCGGAGGCCCACGGAGACUAUAAUCUCACAUUCCACUGUGGCUGAGCUUUUCUCCUAACCUCAGGGUAGAUAUGUUACAAAGCUUGACUCCAUUCAACUUCCAGAUGGGAACCAGGACCUUUGAUUUGUAAAGAGGCAUCUACUCUGCUUGGAGAAGAUCAAACUGUAUGUAAUAUGAGGGAGAAUUGUGUGAACUGACCAGAUUACCCUGCAUCAGAGGUAAUGCUGGAAGCUGGAAUGAGGACUCCUAGCUCUGAAAGCCACGUAACCAUUUAGAGCGUUGUUUGGAAAUCAAAGUACAAACCAGCUCUAGGAUGGCUGAUAGGUCUCAGGGUUUGAAUCUAGUCUGGACUGAUUGGGAAGGACUUCCUGAGAGUGGACUAGAGAAGGAGCUCGAAGGUGAAUCCACUGGGACGGAAGAGUGAUGUGGGCCAUGUGUGCUUGGAAGUCAAAGAGCAGUGAGCCGGAGGCCCAGAGGGCUGGCACUUCGAGAUCGCACAGGAUAGCUCGCUAAAGGAGACCUACAGGAAGCUAUAGACUACCUCCCAAAUAAUUCUAACCUCUGUUGAAAAAAAUCUUUCUUUUGUUCAAUGAACACAGUCAAGGCAAACAAAUCAACACCUUUUAAAGCAGAAUAAGGCAAGGUGUUAUUUGUUUUUGUGUUUGUUUAUUUGUUUUGUUUUCAGCUAUCAUCCAGCAGUCCCUGGACUUGGGGAGUUUUUAUGAAGCAUUUAAUCCUAAGCAACGCAAUUUGGGCUAACAUCCUGCAGUUUAAGUAGCUGUUGAAGUAAGAUGCCAUUUUAAAGCAAACCAAUAUAGAAAAUAAUAAACUGUUCUUUGCUGAUCAGAAGGGCUCCACAGUCAUUUAGAGAUACGACUGCAAGUUAUUUUUCCAACACUGGCACUGGGCUGGCCACAAAUUUACCAGAUUUUCUAUCUCCCAUAUGGCUCACAGGCAUUUUGCCUUCUGUGGUAAACUCCCAGAAUGAAGCUGUUAUCCGCAAAGGCAUCUAGUUAGGGGCCUCACUAUUAUCAUGCUUUAAUUACCCAAGACUUUGCAGAAUAACCCACUGAGCUCAACUGCAGAAGCUUUGAACCUACAAAUUUCCACAACUGCCUAUAGCUAAUUGCCCUGCAAGUGUCCAGCAGAGCAGCUGGGAGGGAAUAGCAAAUUUUUCGGCCCUUUUUUUUAAUAUUGUUUUUCAAUGAAAAGUUUUUGGAUCUAAAAAGAAACAUUCCUAUUAGCUUGUUUUUUCCCUAGUUCUGUUUCUAAAGGACUCCCAACUAUGAAGGCCUGGCUGUUCUGGGAAUCUAAACUCCUGUACUACAUCCCAGGCCUCCAGGGAAUGUUUCCAUGGUUCACUGGAGCAAAUGAAGGAAAGGAAAGAGGCCAGCAAUUACGAACGGAUUGUGAAUCAUUUUCUACAGCAUAAUUAGGCUUCUGGAAUCCCUAGAGGGCCCGUCCAUGGAAGCAGUCCAAAGUCCUGGAGAAACAACGCAAUGUUUAUGGUUCAUCCAUUCAAUAGAAUACGAUGCAGCCAUUCAAACUAGGGGGCAGGGGCAUGUCCAACUUCAGGGAAAGCUGUCCACAAAGAUUCAUAGGUUUAAAUAAAAAAGUCUGAGCGAAUAUAUACCCAAGUAGCAGCCAUGGCAAUUUCCAGAUUGAGGUGUAAUGUCUUCCUUCCUUCCUUCCCUCCCUACCUCCUUCCUUCUUUCCUUUCUUCCUUUUUCUUUUUUCUUUUUUUUGAAUUUUAUCAAUAUUCUAUAGUAAGCACUUAUGACUUUUGAAAUUUUCAGAAAUGUUCCCUUGGUUCUCUGGGUACCACUGAGUGGAUAUUCAGACCUCAAAG